rnacentral:rRNA from 1 species
AUUGAACGCUGGCGGCAGGCCUAACACAUGCAAGUCGAGCGGCAGCGGGAAAGUAGCUUGCUACUUUUGCCGGCGAGCGGCGGACGGGUGAGUAAUGCCUGGGAAAUUGCCCAGUCGAGGGGGAUAACAGUUGGAAACGACUGCUAAUACCGCAUACGCCCUACGGGGGAGAGCAGGGGACCUUCGGGCCUUGCGCGAUUGGAUAUGCCCAGGUGGGAUUAGCUAGUUGGUGAGGUAAUGGCUCACCAAGGCGACGAUCCCUAGCUGGUCUGAGAGGAUGAUCAGCCACACUGGAACUGAGACACGGUCCAGACUCCUACGGGAGGCAGCAGUGGGGAAUAUUGCACAAUGGGGGAAACCCUGAUGCAGCCAUGCCGCGUGUGUGAAGAAGGCCUUCGGGUUGUAAAGCACUUUCAGCGAGGAGGAAAGGUUGAUGCCUAAUACGUAUCAACUGUGACGUUACUCGCAGAAUAAGCACCGGCUAACUACGUGCCAGCAGCCGCCGUAACAC